GUGUAAGAAAUUUUUUGUUUUUUUAGAAAUUCUUUUUUUUUCAAAAGUCUAAUUUGCUCAGUGAAAAUUUUAAAUAGCCGCAGUAUUCUAACUGUGCAAAGGUAGCAUAAUAAUUUGUUCUUUAACUUAGGACUGGAAUGAAUGAUUUUACGAGAUUAAGGCUGUCUUAUAAUUAUUAGUUAAUGAAUUUAAUUUUUGCGUUAAAAAGCCUAAAUUUUAUUGGAGGACGAGGAGACCCUAUAGAGUUUUAUAAUUAUAUUUAUUUCAUUAAUUAAUUUAUUUUCAUGAAAUAAAUAUAAUUAUUUUGUUGGGGUGAUAAUUAAAUUUAAUAAACUUUUAAUUUUGUGUUACAUUAAUUAAUGAAUUUUUGAUACUAUAUUUUAGAUUAUUAGAUUAAAUUACCUAAGGGAUAGCAGCGUUACUUUUUUUAAAGUUCUUAUUGACAUAAAAAAUUGCGACCUCGAUGUUGGAUUAAAAUUUAUUUUGGGUGUAGAAGCUUAAAAAUUUAGGUCUGUUCGACCUUUAAAAUUUUACAUGAUCUGAGUUCAAACCGG
rnacentral:lncRNA from 1 species